rnacentral:rRNA from 1 species
GAUGAACGCUGGCGGCGUGCCUAAUACAUGCAAGUCGAGCGAUGGGGCGUGGUGCUUGCACUAAUUUGAAGAGCGGCGAACGGGUGAGUAACGCGUGGGGAAUCUGCCUUUGAGCGUGGGAUAACUUUUGGAAACGAAUGCUAAUACCGCAUAAUAACUUUAAACAUAAGUUUUAAGAUUGAAAGAUGCUAUUGCAUUACUCAAAGAUGAUCUCGCGUCGUAUUAGCCAGUUGGUGAGGGAAAGGCUCACCAAGGCGAUGAUACAUAGCCGACCUGGGAAGGUGGACGGGCAAAUCGGGACUGGGACACCGCCCAAACUCCUACGGGAGGCAGCCGGAAGGGAUCUUUCGCAAUGGAGGGAAGUCUUACCGGACAAACGCGCGUGAGUGAAGAAAGGUUUCGGAUCGUAAAACUCUGUUUAUAAGGGAGAACGAUAGUUGUAAGUAAAUGCGCACAUCGUGACGGUACCUACCCAGAAAGGCACGGCUAACUACGUG